UACGUAGGUGGCAAGCGUUAUCCGGAAUUAUUGGGCGUAAAGGGUGCGUAGGCGGUUUAUUAAGUCUGUGUUGAAAGUUCGGGGCUCAACCCCGUAUUGGCACAGAAACUGAUAGACUUGAGUGCAGGAGAGGGCAGUGGAAUUCCAUGUGUAGCGGUAAAAUGCGUAGAUAUAUGGAGGAACACCGGUGGCGAAGGCGGCUGCCUGGCCUGUUACUGACGCUGAGGCACGAAAGCGUGGGGAGCAAAUAGGAUUAGAUACCCUAGUAGUCCACGCUGUAAACGAUGAGUACUAAGUGUUGGAGAAAUUCAGUGCUGCAGUUAACGCAAUAAGUACUCCGCCUGAGUAGUAUGCACGCAAGUGUGAAACUCAAACGAAUUGACGGGACCCCGCACAAGCGGUGGAUUAUGUUGUUUAAUUCGACGCAACGCGAAGAACCUUACCGGGCCUUGACAUACCGGACGAAGCUAUAGAGAUAUAGAUUAGGUUGAUGGAUACAGGUGGUGCAUGGUUGUCGUCAGCUCGUGUCGUGAGAUGUUGGGUUAAGUCCCGCAACGAGCGCAACCCUUAUCUUUAGUUACCAUCAUUCAGUUGGGGACUCUAGAGAGACUGCCGGUGAUAAACCGGAGGAAGGUGGGGAUGACGUCAAAUCAUCAUGCCCCUUAUGGCCUGGGCUACAAACGUAAUACAAUGGCGUAUACAAAGGGAAGCGAAAGGGUGACCUGGAGCGAAUCUCGUAAAGUACGUCUCAGUUCAGAUUGGAGUCUGCAACUCGACUCCAUGAAGGCGGAAUCGCUAGUAAUCGCAGAUCAGCAUGCUGCGGUGAAUACGUUCUCGGGGUU
rnacentral:rRNA from 1 species